ensembl:lncRNA
AAUAAAUCCUGUCUGCUAAAUGGCAGCCAAGAAGUGCAGCAUGACGCUGCAUCAGAACAGAGAGCAAUCUCACGUGAGUGUAAUGCAGAUAAAUGGGACAAGUUUUUUUACUGUGACCUGCAGAUCUCAUUAGCAGGAAGGACAAAGGAGCACAACCAAGAGCCCGAGCAUGCUGGAAAGGUGUCUAGAACAGGGUAUAGAUGCAGCCUUACUGGCUGUAUUGACUUUGUCUAUGUGCAUGUGUGAUAGUCAGAACUUAUAAACCUAUGAAAAGAAGAGGUCUUGUCUUGUGUGAGACAAGGACUGAGGAAAUCUGGUUUUGGGGUUUCCAAGAUCAGUUUGGGCUACUGGAAUCAAAAGUUAGGGAAUGGGGAGCAGGCUUCUUUGACAAGGGGAAAGAACUGUGGACACGCAUCUCAGAUCUUUAGAAAUGAAUUUGCUGUCCCAGCAAAACAUUCGAACUUUGAAAUGUAGGACAUUCUCUCCAUUCACCCAUACCUCAUCUUGCUCCCUGGCACCUCCACCAUGGCCACAGCUUAGAGCAGUGCUUAGAAACUCUUUUCUGCAGCUAUCUUGGAAAUGGUGUUAAAUAUCACUUUUACCACAUGAGCUUCAGAUACUGGCAACCUGAGAAAAGGAAUCAUAGCUAUAGAUACGAUUUUGUCAGUUAGCUUUUCCAAUUUCUCUGCUCUCCUGCCUUUAAUUACUUGAUCUUGUUCUUCGUAUCAGAGUCAAAAUGUCUCUGCCUCAAUUUUUUGGCCAUUUAUAGUCCAAAAAUGUCUUAUUUUCUCAAAACUCUCUGUGGCACUUGGUGUCUACUGAAAGACAGAGAGAAUAAUGUGGCUGGAAAGAGUGGGAGUGAAGUCAAGUCCAGUUAAAUUAGAGCAUGCUGCUAGAGUUAAUUAGAUUGAAUGUAUCAUUGUGAAAUUACAAAUGGCUACUAUAGGGUGUGUUAGAUUUUAAUUCAUCUCACCUAACUUGGGAGAGAAAGUUCAAGGGCAGUUCAUCAAGUUACUUAAUUUAAGUAGGACAGUUUUGGGAUAAGUAGAUAGCCUCAGAUAGCUCUUUCAACAGGGAAUACAGUGAACAAAGGGAGCAAGGUCAAACACUGAAUUUUCAGGCAAUUGACUUAGAGGGAAAUGUGUCUUCCCUAAAUGCCCAACUACAUCCAUCAUGGAGAUUUUUCACCAGUUGCUUCCAGCUGUUCUCUGGAACUGAGAAGAAUUCUAUAUGCUGAACUAUGUAGGUCACUCUGAAAGUAAUGCUUCCUAUUUAUUUCCAUGGAAAUGACAACAGUUUCUGGUCAGCAGUAUCAAUUUGAGCUAUAUCACCAGUUAACAUUAAGUUCUCCUGCCAAUUUCAAUUGGUUGAUUCAGCAUUUGACCUCAUUUAUGUUCUCUGCAAAGGUAGUCGGUAGGCAGGUGUUUGGUAUCACCCAUUUCUUACAUCUCCUUACUUACAGCUUUACUUUGGUUGCAGUGAGCUUUCACAUAUCUUAACUACUUUGAGCUGUCACUAGGCACCUCUGUAUUUAUAUUCAUGACUCUGUUUGUUCAUGUGUAAUGCCACUUGCACGAGCCUGAGCAGGUGGGAGCUGAGCACACCCACUAAGCAAACACCUCAGCAGAGACAUUAGAGAUUUGGUGACCUGUUCACUCACUUGAAAAAGCCCUUUUUUGAGUGAAGAAAUAUUGACAUUCAGUAAGAAACCUCAAAAUGUCCCCUUUUAAAGCUCAGCCAUCUAACUUAGCUCUUCUGAUUUCAACAGUUUGUAUAAGAAGUGGUAAUACCAAAACCCUACAGGAAGAAAUAUUCCUGCAUGAAAUUCAGGGACAACUAAUCUCAGGAAAUCUUGCAGGAAGUUUUGUCCCUUGAAAGUACUUAACCAGACUGUUCAG